UACGGAGGGUGCUAGCGUUGUUCGGAAUUACUGGGCGUAAAGGGCGCGUAGGCGGCCUUCUAAGUCGGACGUGAAAUCCCUCGGCUUAACCGAGGAACUGCGUCCGAGACUGAAAGGCUUGAAUCCGGGAGAGGGAUGUGGAAUUCCAGGUGUAGCGGUGAAAUGCGUAGAUAUCUGGAGGAACACCGGUGGCGAAGGCGGCAUCCUGGACCGGCAUUGACGCUGAGGCGCGAAAGCUAGGGGAGCAAACGGG
rnacentral:rRNA from 1 species